GUGCUUGCAGUUUCUCUCACACUCACACUCACACUCACACAGAUUAAUUGAACUCGCAAAGCUAGGCUCUUCGAUCAGUUUAAUCAGAAAAAAGAAAAAGUUAUAGAAACAUGUCGCGGGGCACAGCUAACUGCGUAGACAUCAUUUUGGCGAUCAUCUUGCCUCCUCUGGGUGUCUUUCUCAAGUUUGGUUGCAACGUGCAGUUCUGGAUCUGUUUGUUGCUCACCAUUUUCGGGUACCUCCCUGGGAUUAUUUAUGCUGUCUAUAUCAUCACCAAGUGAAGUUCAAUUUUGGUGGAUGUGGAGGUGUGUGAAGAUUCCAUAUGUCUUUUGGUGUCUGAUUUCAAUAACCGUUGGGUGGACGGUUUAUGCUUCGUUAAAUGUCUUUUGUGUAUUUGGCUUAUCCUUUUCCCCUCUAUUUUAUUAUAUGCUGUAAAGGUAGAAUAUUAGUUUUUUGAGUAGAGACUUAUGAUGACGGGCAUCAAUUGUCAUUUAUCUUACAACUUUGUUAUUUUAA